rnacentral:rRNA from 1 species
UACGGAGGGUGCGAGCGUUAAUCGGAAUUACUGGGCGUAAAGCGUGCGCAGGCGGUUCGUUGUGUCGGUGGUGAAAGCCCCGGGCUUAACCUGGGAAUGGCCAUGGAAACUGGCGAACUGGAGUGUGGCAGAGGGGGGUGGAAUUCCGCGUGUAGCAGUGAAAUGCGUAGAGAUGCGGAGGAACACCGAUGGCGAAGGCAGCCCCCUGGGCUAGCACUGACGCUCAGGCACGAAAGCGUGGGGAGCAAACAGG